ACUUCUCUCUUCCCACCUCUAUCUGCCUUAUUGAACUUCAUCUUUCCUUCAUCCUCUUCAACUUCCACUUCUUCUUGUAUGGUCCUGUUGACGCCAUCUUGUUUCUGUCCCCAGACUCAUCAUCUUUACCCUCUGUCAACUGAGUUCCCACCCUGGUUCUCUCUCAAGAUAUUCCACCCAUAGCUUUCACCCGUGGUAAACAAUGAGGGCACAUCUCAAAAAGAAUGGUGUAAUUUAAUUGCCUUGAGUUGGCUGGGCCAUCAUCUAUUAUAAAGUGCUCUUAAAAUUAAAGCUAAUUUAAUUCUCAAGAACUAAGGAUUAAGAAGUUAAGAGCUGGGGUUCUCACAAUAUGGCUUGCAGACUACAAGUGUGAACUGAGGAGGUCCCCAAAGUCACUUCUUACUAAGUGGAACUGGAAAAAAAAGCAAAUGAGCAAGCAGUUUCCAGGGGAAGAAAUGCAGAGGGAUGAUAAACAUAUGAGAAGAUGUUGAGUCCUACUGUAAUAAGGGAGUUACAACUUAAAAAUGUGUAGUAUGCAGUAUAGCAUUUUUCACCCAUGAGAUAGUGAAAGCGGUGUAAAUGGCUCUUAUCUGAACCACAAUGAAUUCACAUAUUCAAGUUGGCUUCUUCGGAAAUUUCAGGCCAAAAAUGGCAGUGAUGCGACCAGGAGCAGUAACACG